CUUCCAAAUCAUAUUUAAUUAGUUCAGACUCAAGUGUCAGCGUGUCCGUCUGUCCGGGUGUGGUUGAUCCUUUGACAAAACAGAGGAAGCGAACUGUCUUUGUGUGGAAAUCCUUCAAAGUCUGUAUGGCGGGCAUAUCGAAACCAGCUGACCCCGGACAAGAGCAGCCACCGCCUUAUUGCCCCACAUCUCCCGGGGGUACGGCGCCCCCCCCCCCCCACAGGGCUACGCGGCGCCUCCCCCACAGGGCUACGCGGCACCCCCUCAAGGAUAUGCCGCACCCCCGGGACAGGGAUACCCUCCUCAGCCGUAUCCAUAUACACCACCCCCGCAGCAGCAACAGUCGAACACCAACGUCGUUGUGGUAGGUGGCGCUGCCCCCGCGGCCCAGACUGUGGCUGUUAAGCAGAUGUCGUCAGUCAACCACUGCCUUCACUGUUGCAUCUCCUUCUUCUUCUUCCCGUGGAUAUUUGUCUGGAUUUGUCUGUGCAUCUGUAACGGGUGCUAGACGAGAUCACACGAACUGCAGUGCCUUGUGGAGACGCGUAAACCAAUAUUCUCCAAAUAAUCAACUAAACAUACGACAGAGGGGCAUGCGUUAUCGUCUAGGCUGUGACUCUACAAUUCGCUGUGCAGAGUUGCGUCACUCGAACGUCCAUUCGUUGUUUUGAAUAAUGUACCCUGCAGGUGACUGUCACUACACAAUAAACGUCUACAACCUGUA